rnacentral:rRNA from 1 species
UGGCGGACGGGUGAGUAAUGUCUGGGAAACUGCCUGAUGGAGGGGGAUAACUACUGGAAACGGUAGCUAUACCGCAUAACGUCGCAAGACCAAAGAGGGGGACCUUCGGGCCUCUUGCCAUCGGAUGUGCCCAGAUGGGAUUAGCUAGUAGGUGGGGUAACGGCUCACCUAGGCGACGAUCCCUAGCUGGUCUGAGAGGAUGACCAGCCACACUGGAACUGAGACACGGUCCAGACUCCUACGGGAGGCAGCAUG